rnacentral:tRNA from 1 species
CGUCCCUUUAGCGCAGUGGAUAGCGCUUUGGACUUCUAAUCCAAAGAUCGUGGGUUCGAAUCCUCCAGGGAUGA